rnacentral:snRNA from 1 species
UUAGCUUUGGAAAGAUGUAUUAAAACUGGGACAACAGACAGAAGAUUAUUAGCAUUGCCUGUGUGCAAGAAUGACAUGCAAAUUCAUAGGGAGUUCCAUAUUUUU